AUUGAACGCUGGCGGCAGGCCUAACACAUGCAAGUCGAACGAGUGGCGGACGGGUGAGUAAUGUCUGGGAAACUGCCUGAUGGAGGGGGAUAACUACUGGAAACGGUAGCUAAUACCGCAUACCAUCGGAUGUGCCCAGAUGGGAUUAGCUAGUUGGUGGGGUAACGGCUCACCACGGCGACGCUCCCUAGCUGGUCUGAGAGGAUGACCAGCCACACUGGACAUGAGACACGGUCCAGACUCCUACGGGAGGCAGCAGUGGGGAAUAUUGCACAAUGGGCGCAAGCCUGAUGCAGCCAUGCCGCGUGUAUGAAGAAGGCCUUCGGGUUGUAAAGUACUUUAAGUGGGGAGGCGUUACCCGCAGAAGAAGCACCGGCUAACUCCGUGCCAGCAGCCGCGGUAAUUC
rnacentral:rRNA from 1 species